GACGAACGCUGGCGGCGUGCUUAACACAUGCAAGUCGAACGGAAAGGCCCUGCUUGCCGGGUACUCGAGCGGCGAACGGGUGAGUAACACGUGGGUGAUCUGCCCUGCACUUCGGGAUAAGCUUGGGAAACUGGGUCUAAUACCGGAUAGGAGCCAUCUUUAGUGUGGUGGUUGGAAAGUUUUUUCGGUGUAGGAUGAGCUCGCGGCCUAUCAGCUUGUUGGUGGGGUAAUGGCCUACCAAGGCGGCGACGGGUAGCCGGCCUGAGAGGGUGUACGGCCACAUUGGGACUGAGAUACGGCCCAGACUCCUACGGGAGGCAGCAGUGGGGAAUAUUGCACAAUGGGCGCAAGCCUGAUGCAGCGACGCCGCGUGGGGGAUGAAGGCCUUCGGGUUGUAAACUCCUUUCGCUAGGGACGAAGCUUUUUUGUGACGGUACCUAGAUAAGAAGCACCGGCUAACUACGUG
rnacentral:rRNA from 1 species